rnacentral:rRNA from 1 species
UACGAAGGGGGCUAGCGUUGUUCGGAAUCACUGGGCGUAAAGCGUACGUAGGCGGACCGUUAAGUCGGGGGUGAAAUCCCAGGGCUCAACCCUGGAACUGCCUUCGAUACUGGCGGUCUGGAGUCCGGGAGAGGUGAGUGGAACUCCUAGUGUAGAGGUGAAAUUCGUAGAUAUUAGGAAGAACACCAGUGGCGAAGGCGGCUCACUGGCCCGGAACUGACGCUGAGACGCGAAAGCGUGGGGAGCAAACAGG